rnacentral:rRNA from 1 species
GACGAACGCUGGCGGCGUGCUUAACACAUGCAAGUCGAACGGGUCUGCCCUGUUUUUUGCGGGGUGGGUCAGUGGCGAACGGGUGAGUAACACGUGAGUAACCUGCCCCUCACUUCUGGAUAACCGCUUGAAAGGGUGGCUAAUACGGGGUGUUCUGGCUGUGCCGCAUGGUGUGGCUGGGAAAGAUUCACUUUUGUGGUGUUUUGGUGGGGGAUGGGCUCGCGGCCUAUCAGCUUGUUGGUGGGGUGAUGGCCCGCCAAGGCUUUGACGGGUAGCCGGCCUGAGAGGGUGGGCGGUCACACUGGGACUGAGAUACGGCCCAGACUCCUGCGGGAGGCAGCAGUGGGGGGUAUUGCACAAUGGGCGGAAGCCUGAUGCAGCGACGUCGCGUGAGGGAUGGAGGCCUUCGGGUUGUGAACCUCUUUCGCCGGUGAAGAAGGUCCUGCUCUUUGUGGUGGGGUUGACGGUAGCCGGGUUAUGAAGCGCCGGCUAACUACGUG